rnacentral:rRNA from 1 species
GACGAACGCUGGCGGCGUGCUUAACACAUGCAAGUCGAACGGAAAGGCCCUGCGUUUGUGCGGUGCUCGAGUGGGGAACGGGUGAGUAACACGUGAGUAACCUGCCCUUGACUUUGGGGUAACUUCAGGAAACUGCGGCUAUUAUCCGAUAGAAUCUCCUGCUCCGUGUGGGGGGUUGGAAAAUUUCGGCUGUUGGGGAUGGACUGGCGGGUUAUCGGCUUGGUGGUGGGGUAGGGGGGUACAAAGGCUUUGACGGGUAGCCGGCCUGAGAGGGUGGACGGGCACAAUGGGCCUGCGAUAGGCAGCAGACUGCAACGGGAGGCAGUAGUGGGGAAUCUUGCACAAUGGGCGGGAGUGUGAUGUAGAGACGCUGCGUGCGUGAUGCUGGCUUUCGGGUUGUAAACCGCUUUCGCAUGUGACGAAGCGUGAGUGACGGUAAUGGGUCAAGAAGCACCGGCUAACUACGUG